rnacentral:lncRNA from 1 species
UGGGGGGAUUAAGGAAAUGGGUAGGCAAAAUUGUGGAUAAUGCAAGGGAAAUUGAGGCUAUGGGUAAAGUUUGUUGUUGUUGUUGUUGUUGGGGUAUGGGGGUUGUAUUUUGUUGUUCUUCGUUAGAUGUUUGGUUUUCUAGGUUGUUGUUUGACGAUUGGUUGUUGGGAUCCAUUUUUAAGGUUUUGAGUGAGAAAUGGAGAGGUAAAGAGGAGGAAGAAGAACAAGAGGUGGAGAUGAAAAGAUAGGUGAAGGGUUGAUGACCUCCAAAGAAU